rnacentral:rRNA from 1 species
GACGAACGCUGGCGGCGUGCUUAACACAUGCAAGUCGAACGGUGACGGAGAGCUUGCUCUCCUGAUUAGUGGCGAACGGGUGAGUAACACGUGGGCAACCUGCCCCAGACUUCGGGAUAACGCUUCGAAAGAGGUGCUAAUACCGGAUACGAGCUCCUUGGGCAUCCUUGGAGUUGGAAAGUUUUCGGUCUGGGAUGGGCCCGCAGCCUAUCAGCUAGUUGGUGAGGUAACGGCUCACCAAGGCGACGACGGGUAGCCGGCCUGAGAGGGCGACCGGCCACACUGGGACUGAGACACGGCCCAGACUCCUACGGGAGGCAGCAGUGGGGAAUAUUGCGCAAUGGGCGAAAGCCUGACGCAGCAACGCCGCGUGAGGGAUGACGGCCUCGUGUACGUAC